AGACGCGUGGCGCCAUGCCUAAUACAUGCAGUCGAGCGGACAGAAAGGGAGCUUGCUCCCGGAUGUUAGCGGCGGACGGGUGAGAAACACGUGGGUAACCUGCCUGUAAGACUGGGAUAACUCCGGGAAACCGGAGCUAAUACCGGAUAGUUCCUUGAACCGCAUGGUUCAAGGAUGAAAGACGGUUUCGGCUGUCACUUACAGAUGGACCCGCGGCGCAUUAGCUAGUUGGUGGGGUAAUGGCUCACCAAGGCGACGAUGCGUAGCCGACCUGAGAGGGUGAUCGGCCACACUGGGACUGAGACACGGCCCAGACUCCUACGGGAGGCAGCAGUAGGGAAUCUUCCGCAAUGGACGAAAGUCUGACGGAGCAACGCCGCGUGAGUGAUGAAGGUUUUCGGAUCGUAAAGCUCUGUUGUUAGGGAAGAACAAGUGCGAGAGUAACUGCUCGCACCUUGACGGUACCUAACCAGAAAGCCACGGCUAACUACGUGCCAGCAGCCGCGGUAAUACGUAGGUGGCAAGCGUUGUCCGGAAUUAUUGGGCGUAAAGGGCUCGCAGGCGGUUUCUUAAGUCUGAUGUGAAAGCCCCCGGCUCAACCGGGGAGGGUCAUUGGAAACUGGGAAACUUGAGUGCAGAAGAGGAGAGUGGAAUUCCACGUGUAGCGGUGAAAUGCGUAGAGAUGUGGAGGAACACCAGUGGCGAAGGCGACUCUCUGGUCUGUAACUGACGCUGAGGAGCGAAAGCGUGGGGAGCGAACAGGAUUAGAUACCCUGGUAGUCCACGCCGUAAACGAUGAGUGCUAAGUGUUAGGGGUUUCCGCCCCUUAGUGCUGCAGCUAACGCAUUAAGCACUCCGCCUGGGGGAGUACGGUCGCAAGACUGAAACUCAAAGGAAUUGACGGGGGCCC
rnacentral:rRNA from 1 species